rnacentral:lncRNA from 1 species
CUUAGGUUAGUCCUGGAACUCCUUCCUCUUUUUGUUCUUCCUUUUGCCGUUCGAUCUUUCUUCCUCUUGCUCUGCACGUCAGUCCCCCGAGACCCUGUCCGCGAUUUUCCCCAAUUUUUAGGGAUUUCUCCUCUGUAAGUGGUCUCCGUGUGAUUCUAGAUGUCUUCCAGGGCUUCUUCUUCUAGCGGCUCUAGGAGUUCGUCUGUUUCGGUCUCCCAGAGUCCUCAGGAGGUAGAUGAAUCGGCAGCUAGAGCUGAACCUCAUCCGAUUUUUGCAUCGGAUGCCAUUCCUUGUUCUCUGACUCCAGACG